UACGGAGGGUGCAAGCGGUAUCCGGAUUCACUGGGGUUAAAGGGUGCGUAGGUGGGCUGGUAAGUCAGUGGUGAAAUCUCCGAGCUUAACUUGGAAUCUGCCAUUGAUACUAUUAGUCUUGAAUAUUGUGGAGGUCAGCGGAAUAUGUCAUGUAGCGGUGAAAUGCUUAGAGAUGACAUAGAACACCAAUUGCGAAGGCAGCUGGCUACGCAUAUAUUGACACUGAGGCUCGAAAGCGUGGGGAUCAAACAGG
rnacentral:rRNA from 1 species